rnacentral:lncRNA from 1 species
UGUUUGAGAUUUUGAUAUUUGUUUUUGUUUAAGGCUGACUGUCCGUUCUCAAUUUUGCUUAUAUUUCAUCUAUUAAAAGCUACCAAAUUUCCGCCCUCUAUCUCACAAUUCAUGCUACUGACUAUAUAGUUACCAUUAAAACGUUUAAUCCCGCCGCAAAUGUUUGCACCUGUCCUAAGUCAGGAAUCUGAUGUACAGUAGUUG